UUAAUAAAGCAAAUGGUGGAUGCCUAGGUGGUUAAAGCCGAUGAAGGACGUAGAAGACAGCGAUAUGCGUCGGGGAGUUGUCAACAAAUGAUGAUCCGACGAAUUCCGAAUGGAGAAAUCCCUGACUAUGAAAGUAGUCGGAGGCAAGAUCUCGCAAGAGAUUCUGCCGGGAGACCCGGGGAAGUGAAACAUCUCAGUACCCGGAGGAAAAGAAAUCGAAAGAGAUUCCGUAAGUAGCGGUGAGCGAAAACGGAAGAGCCUAAACCUCGCAAGAGGGGUUGCAGGGUCCAAUAUAAAGUUUUGAAAAAACAGAAGAAGGUUAAGGAAUGAACAGCCAAAGAGGGUGAAAGCCCCGUAUUUGAAAUUUGAGUAAAAACUGAUUGGAUACCUAAGUACCGCGAUCCACGUGAAAUGUCGCGGGAAUCUGGGCCGACCAAGGUCCAAGGCUAAAUACUUUAACAGACCGAUAGUGAACUAGUACCG
rnacentral:rRNA from 1 species